GCCGGGCAUGGUGGCGCACGCCUGUAAUCCCAGCUACUGAGGAGGCUGAGGCGGGAGAAUCGCUUGGACCAGGGAGGCUUAGGUUGCAGUGAGCCGGGAUCACGCCACUGCACUCCAGCCUGGGUGACAGCGAGACUCCGUCUCAA
rnacentral:SRP_RNA from 1 species